AGCUCCAAUAGCGUAUAUUAAAGUUGCUGCAGUUAAAAAGCUCGUAGUUGCAUUUCCGAGGCAAGGGAUUAGUCCGACCUUUGGUGGGUAUUUAAUCCUCUUGCCUCGUCCUUGAGUGGUGCUUCUUGGUAUUAAGUUAUCGAGGAGAUAGCCGCUCAUCGUUUACUGUGAGAAAAUUAGAGUGUUCAAAGCAGGCUUAUGCCGUUGAAUAUAUUAGCAUGGAAUAAUAAGAUAGGACCUCGGUACUAUUUUGUUGGUUUGAGAACCAAGGUAAUGAUGAAUAGGGACAGUUGGGGGUAUUCGUAUUCAGUUGUCAGAGGUGAAAGUCUGAGAUUUACGGAAGACGAACUACUGCGAAAGCAUUUACCAAGGAUGUUUUCA
rnacentral:rRNA from 1 species